rnacentral:rRNA from 1 species
AAUGGGCGCAAGCCUGAACCAGCCAUCCCGCGUGCAGGAAGAAGGCGCUAUGCGUUGUAAACUGCUUUUCCAGGGGGCGAACGUUCCGUACGUGUACGGGAGUGACGGUACCUUGGGAAUAAGCAUCGGCUAACUCCGUGCCAGCAGCCGCGGUAAUACGGAGGAUGCGAGCGUUAUCCGGAUUUAUUGGGUUUAAAGGGUGCGUAGGCGGAUUAAUAAGUCAGUGGUGAAAACCUGCAGCUUAACUGUGGAACUGCCGUUGAUACUGUUAGUCUUGAGUAUGGUCAAGGUAGGCGGAAUGUGUAAUGUAGCGGUGAAAUGCUUAGAUAUUACACAGAACACCGAUUGCGAAGGCAGCUUACUGGGCCGUUACUGACGCUGAUGCACGAAAGCGUGGGGAUCGAA